rnacentral:rRNA from 1 species
CGGAAUCUGCCUAUUUGUGGGGGAUAACGUAGGGAAACUUACGCUAAUACCGCAUACGACCUACGGGUGAAAGCGGAGGACCUUCGGGCUUCGCGCAGAUAGAUGAGCCGAUGUCGGAUUAGCUAGUUGGCGGGGUAAAGGCCCACCAAGGCGACGAUCCGUAGCUGGUCUGAGAGGAUGAUCAGCCACACUGGAACUGAGACACGGUCCAGACUCCUACGGGAGGCAGCAGUGGGGAAUAUUGGACAAUGGGCGCAAGCCUGAUCCAGCCAUGCCGCGUGGGUGAAGAAGGCCUUCGGGUUGUAAAGCCCUUUUGUUGGGAAAGAAAAGCAGUCGGUUAAUACCCGAUUGUUCUGACGGUACCCAAAGAAUAAGCACCGGCUAACUUCGUGCCAGCAGCCGCGGUAAUACGAAGGGUGCAAGCGUUACUCGGAAUUACCGGGCGUAAAGCGUGCGUAGGUGGUUUGUUAAGUCUGAUGUGAAAGCCCUGGGCUCAACCUGGGAAUUGCAUUGGAUACUGGCAGGCUAGAGUGCGGUAGAGGGUAGUGGAAUUCCCGGU